AGCAGAAUAUGCAGCAAUUUGAACGCUGACAACAUGGAGAGACACGAGUUAUCAGUCUGAUCAAAUAAUCAAAAAGUUUGUGCUCUGAGUUUUUCCUUUUCAGAUCCUUGUAAAAUAUCAACAUUUCUCUUUCAAUUUUAAUGGUUUACCGAAUACUUUCCAAAGCUGACACAAGGUCAAUGGAAAGAGUACAUUAAAAAGUUAAUAUUUGUAAAUAUUUGCUUGCAUCUUGCAGUUG
rnacentral:misc_RNA from 1 species